rfam:Camelus ferus unplaced genomic scaffold scaffold209, whole genome shotgun sequence.
GAGGGUAUAGCUCAGUGGUAGAGUGCAUUCUUAGUAUGCACGAGGUCCUGGGUUCAAUCCCCAGUACCUCUG